rnacentral:rRNA from 1 species
CGAAUGCUGACAUAAGUAACGAUAAAGCGGGUGAAAAGCCCGCUCGCCGGAAGACCAAGGGUUCCUGUCCAACGUUAAUCGGGGCAGGGUGAGUCGACCCCUAAGGCGAGGCCGAAAGGCGUAGUCGAUGGGAAACAGGUUAAUAUUCCUGUACUUGGUGUUACUGCGAAGGGGGGACGGAGAAGGCUAUGUUGGCCGGGCGACGGUUGUCCCGGUUUAAGCGUGUAGGCUGGUUUUCCAGGCAAAUCCGGAAAAUCAAGGCUGAGGCGUGAUGACGAGGCACUACGGUGCUGAAGCAACAAAUGCCCUGCUUCCAGGAAAAGCCUCUAAGCAUCAGGUAACAUCAAAUCGUACCCCAAACCGACACAGGUGGUCAGGUAGAGAAUACCAAGGCGCUUGAGAGAACUCGGGUGAAGGAACUAGGCAAAAUGGUGCCGUAACUUCGGGAGAAGGCACGCUGAUAUGUAGGUGAAGUGAUUUACUCAUGGAGCUGAAAUCAGUCGAAGAUACC